ensembl:lncRNA
GCAGAGGAAGAGCCCUCCCAACAAGACUCUGAGCCUCUUGGCCUGAGGCCCAGGACAGUGCAUUGUGGGAUAAAAGGGAAGGGCCAGCAUUUCAAAGACAUAGCCUCUCUUCAGGAGGCUCCCAGCUUGCUUCAACUCUGGGCCCCCAGCCAGGCUGAGUGGACAAAGUGGGGCAGAUGGAUACUCCUGCAGGGUGGAAGCGGCAAAGAAGGGAGGAUGCGGAGUGAACCUAGAAGGCUCUGUCAAAUGGCUGCUGUUAGAACAGACAUUCUGAGUUUGGGGACAUCUUUGCAUGUUUGCAGCCCGCACCCACCAUGGCAAGUGGAGGUCUUCUGCCCUGUGCCUCUGUGCUCUCCCCGUGAACUCCCUUGUCAGCUACCUCCAUAUUCCUCCUGCUCCCUGGCAGGCAGAGGGCCUGGAUGCCCACCCUCUCAGCCCUAUACUCCUUUUUGCCCAGGUCCCAAAGCUAGAAGUGAGGCUGGUGGCCUUGGAGGCUGAAGGUCAAGAGCUCCUGCUAGAGCUGGAGAAGAAUCAGUGAGUACCAGGCUGGGGAAAGAGCUGGGAGCCAAGAACAGCCCCUUUCUCUGGGGAAGGAUCACUGCUGGGGGCAGGGAUGGAUGGGAACCCCAGAGGGAGGCUGGAUGGGGUGAGAGCCCCAGAGGAGGAGGUGCAGGUUACAGGGAGAGUCAAUGUUAGUCUCGACUGGCUCCCUCGAGACUGAAAUGGGUUAUUGAGGCUGGAUUCACUGUAGGGCAUAUCUCUCAUCCCAGCCCCAGGCACAUCUUGUCAGCUUCCUGCCACAAAUGAGUGAGCAUCACCCUCUGGGUGCUCACAGGGUGUGGUGAGUCAAAAGAGAAUCCAAGAUGGACUCCAAGAAUGGGCAGGUGGUCCAGAAGGCGGGAAUGCCAGGCACAAAAGUACAGUGACUACAGAGCAAAGGUCAAGGCACAUUCAGGGGGUAGCAAUUUGUCUGGCUUGCCUGGGGAGUCUCCUUCUAUAGGGAAGGGAGCAAAGAGAAACAAAUUUGGGGAGUCCUAGUAGGGCCAGAUUACAGAAGGCCAUUUUGGUGCUGAGUGUCCAGGAUAGUGCAAAGCCAAAGAUUUUGAGCUGUGAAUGAACAAGCAGAGCUGGGCUGGGUGAGGUGAGUGUCUAAGAUGGAGAGUGGGUUCUUGAAACCAUCUAGAUUGUAUUACCGACAUCUCUUAUUUUCAAUUGCUUGUUUCAUCACAGGCACUGUUCUGAGCAUCCUACAUACACAUUUUUUUUAUUCUCCCCCAUGCGCUGAGAACAAACUUAGGUUCCACCAUGCCUAACUACAGUUUCUCUGCGGUUCAAUAUCCCCAUAUGUUAAAAGAGGUGAUCACAUCACCUCCUCCCUAGGUUUGAGUGUG